rnacentral:rRNA from 1 species
UACGAAGGGGGCUAGCGUUGUUCGGAAUUACUGGGCGUAAAGCGCACGUAGGCGGACUAUUAAGUCAGGGGUGAAAUCCCCGGGCUCAACCCGGGAACUGCGUCCGAUACUGGCAGGCUUGAAUCCGGGAGAGGGAUGCGGAAUUCCAGGUGUAGCGGUGAAAUGCGUAGAUAUCUGGAGGAACACCGGUGGCGAAGGCGGCAUCCUGGACCGGCAUUGACGCUGAGGCGCGAAAGCCAGGGGAGCAAACGGG